UACGUAGGGUGCGAGCGUUAAUCGGAAUUACUGGGCGUAAAGCGUGCGCAGGCGGUUCGCCAAGUCAGGUGUGAAAUCCCCGGGCUUUACCUGGGAAUUGCGAUGGAGACUGCAAGGCUAGAAUCUGGCAGAGGGGGGUGGAAUUCCACGUGUAGCAGUGAAAUGCGUAGAGAUGUGGAGGAACACCGAUGGCGAAGGCAGCCCCCUGGGCCAAUACUGACGCUCAUGCACGAAAGCGUGGGUAGCAAACAGG
rnacentral:rRNA from 1 species